UCGUAACAGCAAUAGCUUCUAUCCACACAGGUUAAAGGGUGGUAUAGUGUGCAUUCCCUUCCCGAAACACUUGAAAAAAAUAUGGGAUGUGUCUUCUACACUUCUAGGCCUAAUGGAUAAGACUGUUGUCGAAGGCACUCCCAGUUAAAUGUAAACAAACGUCAAUUCUAACCGGUCAAGUGUGUUCCAAGCACUUUCUGAAACUGCCUGGACCAAUAGAAAAUAACCCAGAACCAUAUUCAGCUGAUCAUAAUGGAAGUAUAACAUGACAUCAAAAUUAACAAGAGCUCAGCAAUAAAAAGACAGACAAAUUGUUGACAGUUACAUUCCUGAUGAAGAAAAAAAAUACCAAGAAUUAACAAAAAACGUACAAAGAAAUUUAACAUGUGAUUUUACUCUCUGCAAGGCCAGUCGCCUUUUGGUUCAGAA